rnacentral:tRNA from 1 species
GCGAUGGUGGUGCAGUGGUGAGCAUGGCUGCCUUCCAAGCAGUUGACCCGGGUUCGAGUCCCGGCCCCGCA